rnacentral:rRNA from 1 species
AACGAACGCUGGUGGCGUGCUUAACACAUGCAAGUCGAACGAGAAAGUUUCCUUCGGGAAAUUAGUAAAGUGGCGCAAGGGUGAGUAUCACGUGAAUAAUCUGCCCUCGAGAUCGGGAUAACAUGGUGAAAACUAUGCUAAUACCGGAUAAGACCACAUUUCAAAAGAAAUGUGGGAAAAGAAGUCUCAAACCUUUACUCGAGGAUGGGUUCGCGCAACAUUAGCUUGUUGGUGAGAUAAAAGCUCACCAAGGCUACGAUGUUUAGCCGGCCUGAGAGGGUGAACGGCCACACUGGAACUGAGACACGGUCCAGACUCCUACGGGAGGCAGCAGUGGGGAAUAUUGCGCAAUGGGCGAAAGCUUGACGCAGCGACACCGCGUGUGGGAUG